GUGCACGCUGGCGGUAGGCCUAACCCAUGCAAGUCGCACGGCAGCACAGUAAGAGCUUGCUCUUACGGGUGGCGAGUGGCGGACGGGUGAGGAAUACAUCGGAAUCUACUUUUUCGUGGGGGGUAACGUAGGGAAACUUACGCUAAUACCGCAUACGACCUACGGGUGAAAGCAGGGGAUCUUCGGACCUUGCGCGAUUGAAUGAGCCGAUGUCGGAUUAGCUAGUUGGCGGGGUAAAGGCCCACCAAGGCGACGAUCCGUAGCUGGUCUGAGAGGAUGAUCAGCCACACUGGAACUGAGACACGGUCCAGACUCCUACGGGAGGCAGCAGUGGGGAAUAUUGGACAAUGGGCGCAAGCCUGAUCCAGCCAUACCGCGUGGGUGAAGAAGGCCUUCGGGUUGUAAAGCCCUUUUGUUGGGAAAGAAAAGCAGCAGGUUAAUACCCCGCUGUUCUGACGGUACCCAAAGAAUAAGCACCGGCUAACUUCGUG
rnacentral:rRNA from 1 species